rnacentral:rRNA from 1 species
UGCGUGCACUUCUCCCCUAGUAGGACGUCGCGACCCGUUGGGUGCCGGCUUACGGCCCGGUUGAUCGACUGUCGCGUCGUGUUCUCACGUAUACGCGACAGGCAACCGGUCGCCCGGCCGGCUGCUCGGCGGUAUAGAACGCAUUUAAACGGUAUUGGGCCGCACCAAGUGCGUCUCAGGCUCGCCGGCAGGCUCGUCUCGCCCGGAUUUACGGACCUAGCGCCGUUGCCGGGCGCUUGAUGCGGCCGCUAGUCGACGAUGUCCUCGGACUGGCUCUUACAUUCGAAAGGAUAUACCGGUCGGCGACGCUACUGCUUUGGGUACUUUCAGGACCCGUCUUGAAACACGGACCAAGGAGUCUAACAUGUGCGCGAGUCAUUGGGAUUUGUUAAGCCUAAAGGCGCAAUGAAAGUGAAGGUCGUCCUUAGUGUCGAUCGAGGGAGGAUGGCUCGCGUUACCAUUAUGCGAGCCCGCACUCCCGGGGCGUCUCGUGCUCAUUGCGAGCAGAGGCGCACCCAGAGCGUACACGUUGGGACCCGAAAGAUGGUGAACUAUGCCUGGUCAGGACGAAGUCAGGGGAAACCCUGAUGGAGGUCCGUAGCGAUUCUGACGUGCAAAUCGAUCGUCGGAACUGGGUAUAGGGGCGAAAGACUAAUCGAACCAUCUAGUAGCUGGUUCCCUCCGAAG